UAUAAAACAUUGGCAACAAGCAAAGCGAUUCUAUUUAUAAAUCGCACAGUUAUUUUGCUGUAAAUACCCUGCAAUUAGGAGGGCCAUCAACUGAUUACUGGGUCCGCCGUUCUGGACCAAACUAAUUGUAACCCCCCUAAUAAUAGAUUACUCUCCAGCCUCAUGCAGAGGGUACAAUUUUGCACAGAAGCUUGGAACUGAGAAAACAGCGGGUCACGCACUCAAGCCAAUUGGCAUUUGGACUUCUCACUCACUCUCUGGCAAAAGAUUUAAAUGCGGAAUGAAACACGAUUUGUGCACGCGAGAAAAGUGACCGACUAACGAAAGUGAUGUCAUUAGAUUAAUAGCUACUAGUGCUUUUAUGGGAUUGCUAAGGAUGUGCCACAAGUGGUUGCGGGGGACAGCUCAAGCGGAAAUGCCUCACAUAACGCAACAGGUGCGUAUAGUGCUCAACGGGGGACAGAGAGUGGCGGAGAGAGUGACCAACCGCCACUCAAAAAGAUAGCUCAGAAUGGAGUCGAGUUUUUUAUUCACAGCUGACGCCACUGGAGCGUGAUGAGGGAGAGGGACAGGGAUGGCUAGAGGGACUAGCAACUAGAGCCUGAUAAAAAGUAGUGAAACUCACCUGAUAAUACGAAUCCGACAUGGUUUAUGUAGUUACACGUUGAAUCACUCGAUGCCCUUGUUGCUUUCGUUGUUGUUAUAGUUGUUUAGUUGUUUUUGCUAUUUCCUUAGUUGUCAGUUUAUAUAUGUAUGUAUAUUUUUGGCUAUUAAGUGGCGCCGCACAGAAACACUCACGCGUCCGCGUAUUCCGUUCGUUUUCGUGUUUGCUCUUUUGUUUACCUUUCUUUGAACAAAUAAAACAUAUAAGUACAUAUGUAUAUGUAUGAUACCGUUGUAUGUAUUUGGACUGUUUAACACUUAAACAUUAACACCUGAUGCGCGCGCCCCAGCUCUCCCUUUUAUUCGAUUCCCCCCUCUGCCUACCGAUACACCGCAAGCAAUGAAUAGAUUUCGGUUGUUUGCUAGGGAAGGGGGAUAGCAACUCACGCACACACCGCCAACAAGUGGCCGGUUCCAUAGGUGUGAGUGGGUACGCGCGAUUGUAUUCGUGCCAGCGGAUGAGCCCGUGAGAGGGAUAGGGAGAGUGGAAGAGGCAGAAGAAGAGAGAACAAGCGUCAUUUACAAUUGUUGCUUUUGCGGGAACAAAGAGCUGCUUCUGCUUCUGCCGCUGAAGCUGUCUCUGUCUCGGUCGCUUCCUCUACCUCUGCUGCCCAUCCACGUUGCAGCUUAUUUGCGGCUACAAAUUAUGCAUAUUUCCAAAGAAUGUGCUUAGGGAAUCUGCAGCUGGAUUAAUUAGCUUCAAUUGAAAACUGGGCUCUGGUUCCGCUCCCGAUUAAAACAUGGAAAGGAGGCAAGGAAUGCAGAAUAUGAGGAGUGGGGAACGUACACCGCGUUUCAAAACAUAGCGCAUGCGUCGGAUAGCAGCGAAAAUUUCGUGCGACCACCGAUAUAUCACAUAUCUACACAACAACACAUUUCUACACAACAACACCUUUGCUACACGCUUGCUACAUAAUGGAAGGAAAAAGAGGGUAUGGGCAACAGUCGUAACGGCCCAGAAAAUGAAACGCAUGCAUGGUAAAAUCCACCCCAUUUGCUCAAUAUACCUUUAAGACAGAAAUUAGAUUUUUUCUCCAAGGUAUAUUGAGCUCAUACGCGAGUGAGGUUCGUACGAACCUUGCAAUUUGCUUUGCCUUUUUUGCCUGUUGUCCAUACCUCUUUCUAUAGCCCAUUUAAAAUUACGACUCAUUUUUUCGUUGGAUUAUGAGCGUCUGCACUCAGAAAUAUACCGAAAUAUACCUUAUUUUCAAAUGAGUACUAAAACAGAAAUAUUUUAGAUCAUUAUUUUCUUAGUUACAAUAAUAUAAAAAAGGAUUAUUCUUUAUAUAAUAUAAUUGUCUUUAGAUAACAUAAAGCAGAUAUUCGUUUACCCUAAUCAUCGUUCACUGUUAGACUCCAUUUUGCAAAAGCAUUUCUUUUUCGGGUUUAGAUUGUCGUACAAAUAAUAGAUUUUAAAAAGUUGUAUUCGUAAAUCUAUUUCUUAUAUUGGUUUUAAGAAGCGUUUCUACCGACGCCCUCUAUGCGCUUUAUAUCAGAAUGUGACCUACGAGUCGCUAUAUUUCUAAUACUUUUAAAGCCGUCAAUCUUAAAUUUAUUUGUUUUUACAGACGGUACUGCCCGCAUAUAAUAUAACAUACUAAUAAUAGGAGCUAAAAUCUAAGCCGCUGGCUUCUUGGGUAGAGAGCCGAAAGCAGAUAUGACCGUGCCCUUGGUGCCAGUCACUGUGGUGGUGAGAGCAGGCAGGGUUUGCUUAACGCUGGAUGAUGAGGCCGGUUGAUCCCACUUGGAUUUGCUACAAAAGAUGUGGUUUAAAUAAAAAAGAACUUCUCCCAUA